CUUUCAAUUCCUCAGCAUUUAAACAUUUUAGGUAAACUUAUUUACCUAUGGAAUACAUUUUAAGUUUUCAUGUUCUUUUAUAAAUGUUGAAUAUAUUUAGAUUUAUUCAUUUAUUUUAUUUGCUAAAUGUUAAACGGCAUUUAUAGAAAAGUUAUAAUAAUUAUAAACAUCUUGAUAACAUGUAAUAUAAAUUUAAUGUUUAUUAUUUUAUUUCUAAACAAGCCAAAGCAUAAAAAUUUGAAAAUUCAUUAUAAUUCUGUU